rnacentral:sRNA from 1 species
CCCUAGCCCUGAUGGCAGCGGCAUCCUUUUUUGUCUCGUUUUUCAGAGACAAAAAAGAUACAGCGGACAGCAGGAAAUUGC